rnacentral:rRNA from 1 species
AUAACGACUCUCGGCAACGGAUAUCUCGGCUCUUGCAUCGAUGAAGAACGUAGCGAAAUGCGAUACUUGGUGUGAAUUGCAGAAUCCCGUGAACCAUCGAGUCUUUGAACGCAAGUUGCGCCCGAAGCCAUCAGGUUGAGGGCACGUCUGUUUGGGCGUCACG